rnacentral:tRNA from 1 species
GAAGGUGUGGCUCAGUGGAAGAGCAUCUGCCUAUUAUGCAGAAGGUCCCUGGUUCAAUCCCUACUAUCUUUA